UGGGGAAUUUUGGACAAUGGGCGAAAGCCUGAUCCAGCAAUGCCGCGUGUGCGAAGAAGGCCUUAGGGUUGUAAAGCACUUUUGUCAGAGAAAAAAAGACGAUUGUUAAUACCAAUUGUUAAUGAUGGUAUCUGAAGAAUAAGCACCGGCUAACUACGUGCCAGCAGCCGCGGUAAUACGUAGGGUGCGAGCGUUAAUCGGAAUUAUUGGGCGUAAAGCGUGCGCAGGCGGUUGUAUAAGAUAGAUGUGAAAUCCUUGGGCUUAACCUGAGAACUGCAUUUAUGACUGUACAGCUAGAGUGUGUCAGAGGGGGGUAGAAUUCCACGUGUAGCAGUGAAAUGCGUAGAGAUGUGGAGGAAUACCGAUGGCGAAGGCAGCCCCCUGGGAUAACACUGACGCU
rnacentral:rRNA from 1 species